GUUGAGACACUAAUUCCCGUAUAAUCACCAAAGUUAAGCAACCUUGAGUCUGUUCUCUGUACCUAGGUGGGUGACCACUUGGGAAUACCAGGUGGUGUAAG